AUUGAACGCUGGCGGCAGGCCUAACACAUGCAAGUCGAGCGGAUGAAGGGAGCUUGCUCCUGGAUUCAGCGGCGGACGGGUGAGUAAUGCCUAGGAAUCUGCCUGGUAGUGGGGGAUAACGUCCGGAAACGGGCGCUAAUACCGCAUACGUCCUGAGGGAGAAAGUGGGGGAUCUUCGGACCUCACGCUAUCAGAUGAGCCUAGGUCGGAUUAGCUAGUUGGUGGGGUAAAGGCCUACCAAGGCGACGAUCCGUAACUGGUCUGAGAGGAUGAUCAGUCACACUGGAACUGAGACACGGUCCAGACUCCUACGAGAGGCAGCAGUGGGGAAUAUUGGACAAUGGGCGAAAGCCUGAUCCAGCCAUGCCGCGUGUGUGAAGAAGGUCUUCGGAUUGUAAAGCACUUUAAGUUGGGAGGAAGGGCAGUAAGUUAAUACCUUGCUGUUUUGACGUUACCAGCAGAAUAAGCACCGGCUAACUUCGUG
rnacentral:rRNA from 1 species